rnacentral:rRNA from 1 species
GACGAACGCUGGCGGCGUGCUUAACACAUGCAAGUCGAACGGUGAAGCUCCAGCUUGCUGGAGUGGAUCAGUGGCGAACGGGUGAGUAACACGUGAGCAACCUGCCCCUGACUCUGGAAUAAGCGCUGGAAACGGCGUCUAAUACUGGAUACGAGAAGGGUCCGCAUGGGCACUUUCUGGAAAGUUUUGCGGUUGGGGAUGGGCUCGCGGCCUAUCAGCUUGUUGGUGAGGUAAUGGCUCACCAAGGCGACGACGGGUAGCCGGCCUGAGAGGGCGACCGGCCACACUGGGACUGAGAGACGGCCCAGACUCCUACGGGAGGCAGCAGUGGGGAAUAUUGCACAAUGGGCGAAAGCCUGAUGCAGCGACGCCGCGUGAGGGAUGACGGCCUUCGGGUUGUAAACCUCUUUCAGCAGGGAAGAAGCGAAAGUGACGGUACCUGCAGAAGAAGCACCGGCUAACUACGUG